rnacentral:rRNA from 1 species
CAAUACGUCAGCGGCAGACGGGUGAGUAACGCGUAGGAACAUACCUUUUGGUUCGGAACAACACAGGGAAACUUGUGCUAAUACCGAAUAAGCCCUUACGGGGAAAGAUUUAUCGCCGAAAGAUUGGCCCGCGUCUGAUUAGCUUGUUGGUGAGGUAACGGCUCACCAAGGCGACGAUCAGUAGCUGGUCUGGGAGGAUGAUCAGCCACAUUGGGACUGAGACACGGCCCAA